GUUCCUUCCUGUUUUAAUUUCCUGCAGAAGCUGCUGAAUGGAAGAUGGGAGAAGGUGCUGCUGCAGCUGCAGCUGCUGCUGGUGGUUCUGCUGGGAGCGCGCAGAGGGAAUGGGGCAAUCAUUUGAAGCAGAGAUGGUCGCUUUCUUCUCUUUCUGCCGAAGCAGAGACACGCUGGGUCUGGAGCUACUGCAGAGGGAUUUCCAGGGAACUUUCCCCUUCGAGUUCCCCGCUUUCAAAUCGAGAUUGUAAUUAUCCAAAAAUAUGAAUUGAUAAAAAAUUGGGAUGUUUUGGAUGAGAAUUUGGAGGAAACUAAUCAGUCCAAUCAGUACUUGGAAAAUGGAGUGGAGGAGAUACAAGCAAAAGUGGAUAAAAAUGAAGAUAUGAUCAUGAAUAAACAAGAUGAUGUAAAGAGGCUUUCUUUAAAAGAUUUGGAUGAAACACCUGAAUUUGCAUUAGGUUGUUUCCUGAACCGAUAAAAUACACAGGGCUAAUGCUUUACAAGAGUUUUCUUUCCGGAUUGAUGGAAUAUAUGGUAGUAAUUUGUGGAUUGCUGGACAAAAGGAACCAUUAGGAGAUAUUGUGAUUGACUUUUUAAAAGGAGUAAUGAAGGAAAGACAGAGACUAAUGCAUCAAAAAAACCGGCAAGAGACAAAAGUAUUAUUCUUGAAAGAAGUUUUUUUAAAAAAUAUUAACAGAUAAAAAUAUUAGUGUUCCUGAAAGACUAUAUGCAAGAAAGAUCUGGAAGGGUUGAUUAUAUGUUUGAUAUAUAUCACAAAAGACUAGAUAUUUGGAAUUAUAUUGGAUUUUUUUUCUUUUCUCUUAAGCUUGUGUACUAAGAAAAAUGGCGAUGGUCAGAGGAGGAAGGGCUAAAGUUGAAUAGAGAUUGUAAUUUGCUGUAUCGAAAUUAUGUAAUGUGUUUUACUGAAUUGUAAAUAGAAUACUCUCGAAAGACUUUAUGUAAGAAAGAUUUGGGGGGGAAUUGGGUUGAUUAGAUGGUUUAUAGAAGUUAUAAGGGAGAUAUUCUCUGAAUUGGAUUUUUAAGCAUUAUCUGGUUUUAAAUACUUUAGGAUUAAUCUGCUGUAUUGAAUAUAUUUUAUCAAUGUUAAUUGUUAUUUCUUGAAGGAUUUUGGUUAUGUAAGGGAGAAGUCA